rnacentral:tRNA from 2 species
GCCGCAGUGCUGGAAUUGGUAGACAGGCUAGGCUCAGAACCUAGUGUUUAGAAAUAAACGUGCGAGUUCGACUCUCGCUUGCGGCACCA